rnacentral:lncRNA from 1 species
UUGCAGACCAAAUUUCUUUGGGCAAAAUAAAGGAAAGUCUAAGAAAGAAAAAGGAAAGAAAAUUGUUCGUACGACAAAGAAAGGGGGAGCGGUGAACUCUGAACUAUAUCCGACAGCAAGAGGCCUAGUCAGCAAGUAGCGUCUAUUGUGCAAUUUUCAAAAAAAAAAAAUUCCUCUUCAUUUUGUGUGUAAUAAUACUUUUAGCAUUCCUAGAAGUAGAUUUAUUUCUUGGUAAUUUCACAUUUAUUUCAUGAUAUUCACUAGCAUUAUUAUUACAACAAUUAUUGUAAUAGAACUAAUUUUGAACUUCUAUGUGGUUUGUAAUUAUAAAGAUGUUCUAAAAAUGCAUACAAAUAAUAUUUCUUAAAUAAAAUUUUAUGCGUUAAAUCUCUAUUUCACCACAGGCUAAAUUAAAUAAACAAUACCGAAAAAUUGAAGGUAAAUAAACAGCUCCCCCCCCCCCCCAACAAACAAGAAACUCGACAGCAUUUUUAUUUCAAGUCAAGUCUACAUUUCGAGCUUGAUAUAAUCAAGGGCCUAGUGUUUUUAAAUAAAAAAGAGCAUUUAAAAUUCUGUUUCAAAACACUAGACAUUUCUUUUUUAUGUACAAAUAUGCAGGCAUAAAAAGUACAUUACCAUUUUACUCAAAUCACCAAAUUAUAAAAAUUAAUCAUUUAAAAGAUAUUUGAAAUGUGCAUUUUACAAAUAAGAAAAUAUUAAUUAUGAUAAUAAUAGGCUUAAAUUAUUUGAAUUCAUUCAAACACUGAACACCUUUCCACCUGUGUACAUCAUACCUUGCUUAAUUUCUCGUCUGCAAUGUUGGGUUGUUCCCAUAAUAAAUAUGCCUUAUUCUGAAGUAACGUACCUUAAAUUAAAAAUUCAAGACCGGCUUUAUAUUAAUAGAAAAAGUAACAGGUGUAAUAAGCAAAAAUAACUUUGCGCUUAUUGCUUGUGGUCAUCAUCAGGUACCGUAUAAAGUACCAGCUUUUAGUAAAUAUGUCUAGUAGAAACGGUGAGCGUAGCCGUUGUGGUUCAUAUCCCAACCUUGAGGUCGGCGGUUCCAGAAACCUCGCUAUGUAAAUCACCGAGGUCCUUUGAGAAACUUUUAUUUAUUUUUUAAGAAUUAUAUAGCGCAAAUAUCCAAUUAUGGAAGAACCGCUGAAGGCGCUUUUUAUUCCCUGGUCAUUGGGUACAGAAUCAAUCAUACACAAUGUGCAACCCCUCUGUUCCCUGGGGAGUAUUCCUAGUUAUGCGUGUAAUCAGCACUACUAUAUUCAUUCAGUAGUGCUGAUUACACGCAUAACUAGGAAUACUCCCCAGUUAUGCGUGAAAUCAGCACUAUUAAUUUCAUUCAGAAUCAUACACCUCUCCGGCCUCCCAGGUUCCCAUUUAUACUCCUGAGUGAGUCUAUAUUUGUUUCUCUGUAUAAAUUGGUACUUAUAUAAUGCUGGGAAUUUAAAUCAUAUUCGUUGUCAGAGAGGAGUGGUAAACCACCAUAGCAUUGCAAAUUCUGGCCUAAAAUCAUCAUUUACUUCCUAGAAUGCUUUAGUUCCUGGGGGUUUACAUGCUAGAAUACCUUAGCCUUGGUGGGGGUUACCCCCUUACCCUACCAAAGCUCUUUUUUAUAAAAAUCUGUGAAACCUACUGCCCAUUAAGUGCUAACUGUAGUAGAGAAAACCUAACCCCCCACCCACCAUUAAGAAACCGGUUACUGGCCGAUUACUCUAUUUCUUUUAAUUAAAUCUGAUUUUGCAUUAGGUUAUAUUUUAGGGUGUGUGUGUAAACCUAACGUUCUGUCUACCACCCCCUUUAUUCGGCCAGUGAUUACAAAAUUAUUUGACUUUCAGUUUGAACAUGCAUCUGACCUUGUAAAGCCAGGUUUUACAAGGUCAGAUUUUGGCUAUUUAUCUCGCUAGUAUCUUCAAAAGAUAUUAAAUUCAUCAGUGUAAUGUUGAAAAUCUCCUUAACCAAAUAGAGAACUUGGACCUGCAUGCUGCUAAUCUUGAUAACUUUUCUAUUUUUGCGUAAUAGAUAUUGUUGUUGUUAUCCCAGGUGAAGAUACAUGGUUGUAUUUCACAAUAUUUCCUGACUCAUCUUCAUUGGUUUAGUUCAUCUAGUGUCAGGCAUUAAAUCAACUCUUUUAAUGAUUUAUAAGGUUUCAGUCGCCACAGGGUUGUAGCUGUAGAAAACUUAAGUGGGUGAAAGUAAUUUUAAAGGUGGGUGGGGAUAACAUUGGUAAAAUUUAAGUUUUAAGGAUGAGCAAGGAGUUAAUAAAGGUUGGUGGAAGGCCAUGAAAUAACCUUUAGACUGGGUUGAAAACUUAAAGGCUGAGUGCCUCCAUCCAUUAUAACUACAUCCCUGGUCCCAACUAGUAUUUUUAUAUUUACACUAGGCUUUUUAGGAUUAAAACAUCCGAUCUCCAUUGGGGAGAAAAUCUACAUUUGGUCAGGAAGA